AUUUUCUAAGGCACAUACACGAAGGAAACAAGUCAACAGGGGGACUGAAGUUUGUUACAACUUGUUAUGGAAUCAUUGGAUUUGUCAAGUUUCUUAAGCCAAACUACAUGCUUCUCAUAACAAAGCGAAGGAAAAUUGGCACAAUAUGUGGGCACACUAUAUAUGGUAUCGCAAAGAGCGAAAUGGUUCCAAUCCUAUAUCCUACUGUGUGAUCCAAAAUGGCAUAUUCUAAGGAUGAAAACAGGUCUUUAGUCAAUUUUGCAUGUAAUUGUAAUACGUCUAUAGCACAUAUAAAGAGACAUCUGAGUGUAGCAUUGAGAAUUAUACCCUGUGGUUUGUACAUAGUUGAGAGUUACGUUAUAAAUUGUGGGUUUUCAUUUGUGUUCAUUAUGUUGUGUAGUGAAAACAUUUUGUUAGAACAUCAUAUUUUAGCUUUGUUGAAUUCUACAGUUUGGUUUCCUUUUUCUGUUCCUUAAUUUUUGUUUUUGUUUUAUUUUUUUAUUGUACCAUAUAUGUUGAUUGUCUCUCUUUAGUGUGUAUGCACAAUGUGGGCUUCCUCAGGUCAACCCUAUCAUCUUUUUGUGGUACUCCCUAAUUGUCUCUUUUGAAAUAGAAAUGAUAAUACUUCUUCAAGAUUUCUAAGUCGUGUAGUAUGUUUAGUGUAUACCUCCAUCAUCCAUUUCAUGUUAUACAUUUAUUGUUAGUUCAUUUCCUGCAAAUGUACAGGGGCAAUCUUCAUUGCUGUUAUGAUGUAAAUGUAACUUUUUGAGUGAGACAAGAUACAAGAAGCUUCUGUGCAGUGUGGAUCUUACGAAGGACUUCUUUUUCAUCUACUCAUUCAAUGUCAUGUUUAGUCUUCAAAGGAACUU